UCCCAAAGACCGGCGCGCCCCCACGCUCCAAAGAGGUCGCCCUCUUCUACCUCAACGCCAGUCGGCAGCGUGACCAUGGAGGUCGCGGAACACGUCCCGUCCAUGUUGAAGUUCCGGGCCGUCCUCGACCUCAUCUCCUAGAAGACUGCCCCGAGCUGCUGCUGGUCGCCUCCCCGAUCUCUUCUGCUCCGGCUCUAGGUUGCACUGGCCGGAGGACAAAGAUGGAUCCAAACUCAGGAGACAGACGUCACACAAGUGAUAGGAUUAGCUCACGACAAACAGCGGGGAACCAAAUAACAGAACUGCAACUCCAUCAUCCAGAAAGGAACUUUCAGGUUGAGGCGGUUGUACUGGAGGGGGAUAGUGUAUCGUGGCAGCGGAGGUAUCUGGAGCAGCGGAAGCGUUAACCCAAGGGCGCAAGGGGAGGCUUAGAACUUGAAAGAUUCAAGCCUGUAACCAGUCGUUAAUGGGCCUUUCGCCCCUCCCUGCAGAUGUGUGUCUCCGUUGAAACUGCUAAGUUCCACUGGCACAGAGCAGAAUUUUGAAUACACCAGUGUUCUGCAUACGCAUCUGUUCUAAUUGAUUCAGUUGAAGAAAGGAGCAAAAGGUUCUAUCAGUCCACGUUGUAUUAUCCCUUGAGGGUUAUUCUCUCCUUUACAACUUCUCCACAUGGAGGCAUACCUCCAAAACAACACACUUCGAAACAAGUCGCGAACUGCGGACGCUGCACUGCAAAGUUUGAGCGAGAUCAACUGUUUAUGGUGUUGAAACGGGAAGAUUGAGCUGGCUGAACCAGAGCAGAACCUACCCCUGGGCUGAUAUGCGAACCGAGUGGGUCUUUGGUAUUGCUAGAUUUGAGAGAGAAUAUUAGCUGCGCAUCUGUUUCUGCAUAACUUAUUUUAAUCACUGAUGCAUCUGCUGUGAUGGCUGCAUGUAUGUGGGCAUGGCAUCAGUUGAUUGAAAAAAAAUCAUCGUUUGAUAAAUUUAUCGUUCCAUAACUCCUCAAAACACUGCUCCCGGAAUGAGAAGCUGUGCUUGUUCAGAGCAGGUCGGCUUUUGUGGCCCACCUGUCGGUGUGGCCGUGGGUUUGCUCUGUUUCCCUCUACAUGAUCAUAAUACAGCGAAGUUUUGCCAACGUUUGUUCAUUGUUAAUGCUUGGAGCAUCUCCAGAUUUCGUAGGUAUUAUAAUUAUAAUAGUUGAUGUUUAGUUCAAACCAGAAGACAUGGAAAUUUAGUGUUGGAUGUGACUAGAGGUGUUAUAUCUUGCAUUGCAUUCCCAAGGUAGCAGAUAUGGUCAAAACUAUUCUGUACAUGGCCUGCCUUGAAACAUUUCGGUAGCUGUUGGAUACUAUUGAUAU